AUUUCUCUUAUGACAUAUUUUUAAGUGCAGAACACUGGUGUUCUAAGAGUGGUGACAGUGUUAACAGACUUCACAAGAGAAAACUAAUUGGUCUAUGCAAGAAUGAGAAGCGUGUGCAAGAAAGUUUAUUCUAACAAGAGAGUCUAUCAGAGAGAGGCGGGGUGGCUGCGGCACAGGAAGUGUGCCAAAAAGCAUCUUGCAGGCCCUGGAGGACACAGAUCAGCCCUGUGUGUCAGCUUUGAGCUCACUGGGCACCUGUCCAGUUGAGUCCACUGUAGCACAGUGAAGGGAAGCAGUCCUUCCUGAACCCUCCCUGAACGCUCCCUGUUGAAUCCCAGUGAAGACCGGCACCUUUGCACAGCCAGUAAGCAACUCUGUACUCCCCUGACAUGACCAUGCCUUUACCAGGUUGUUUGGAUCUUAGACUGACCACCAGACCCCCACCGCCACCCCAGAGAACCACACAGACAGUUGCACAAAAUGGCUCUUUACUAUGGUAUGGAAAACAACAAAAGAAAACAGAAUACAGUUUUAACAAAGAAGUGUCAGUAACAAAAAUAGUUAUACCCAGUAUAGACAGUAUAGUUAGAUAUAUAGAUAAACAGUAUAGUUCAGUCCCACUGGAGGAUUUCAAAAUGCCCCACACUGUUGAGAAGGUAGAUUAAUUACAUCCACCAUACCAUUGUAGUGUCACGUGACCUUCAAUGGCCUCAGAGUGCCGUGUUCCUCAAAGGACAAAAAAAGCAAUCUUCUCAAAAGUGGUCUUCACCAUAAUGCAGGCACUUUAAUUUGUCCAUGAAAGUCCAACUGGCUCCUUACAAAUACUUUGCACCCAGAUCCCACACCCGCCUCCAGGGAGUGCUUCCUCCCUCGCUCUGUGACGUCAAUCCUGGAGAAACAAUGAAAACGAUCCAUGCUUAAUACUCUCUCUCUCUCUCUCUCUCGGAGUGGAGCAAAUCACACACCCCACAUUCGGCCCCUCGCUACAAGAUCAUUGGUCUUCCUUCUCUCUAGUAGGAGAGAGCCUCUCUGAUCGGGGUGACUGCAGGUGAUACAGCAGUCCGUCUUCUCUGCAAUCCCUCUUCUGGAACAGAGGAAGAGAGGAGGCAAGCCAUGGAGACAGACAAAACUACAAUGCAUCAGCAAUCAUAAUACAAUAGAGAUAUCUUCCAGUCCAACAGUAUACUUAUUCCAUUCACAGUCCCUCUAUACUGGAGUUGUGUAUCAGUUAACAAUAACUAGAACACUAGCAUUCAUCAAACAGGACACUUACAUAAACAAUACAAGUUAUACUUGCAGUCUGUUGUGAAACAGUAUUCUCACCAAUACAAAGAGUACUUAACUUUUCUGUGAUGUAGUCUUCACUUCAUUUUAGUUGUUCCAUUUUGUUUCCUUCUGCUUCUCUUCAUUGUAUUCAUUGUUUGGGCUCCAGUGCUGCCUCUCUUCCUUCCAUGUUCAAAAUAGCCAUGUUCCAGUGUGUGUGUAUGUCCCCUCUCCAAUCUUCUCCCUCUCUGUUCUUUUGGUUCCAGUUAUAUAGGGGAACUAAUCAAGUGGUGCUUUUGACUUGCACUUAACUAUAAUUAAGGUCCCAAUCACCUGUGACUGUGAUAAUAAUAUUAUUAUAAUUAUUUUAAAAAUAAUUAAAAGGAUAAAAAAAACAUACAUAAACCUCCUUAUUGGGGUCUCCCUUUGGGUACACAAAACACAUAAAUUAAAUUUUGGGUAUAAAAAUAAAUAAAACACACAGCUUAAAAAAUAAAAAAAUAGUGCAACUAAAACAGUAUACAAUAUAACCACCAGUGAAUAAAACAAUUAAGACUUUGGUCAUUUGUGACAAAAGGUUUGGAUAUUUUUUUUUUGAUUGUUUUGUUUUGCUACCCUGUGCUCCUUUACAAACAUUUGCCACAGUAAAUGUGCACAGUCAUUUUGUAGUUCCCCCCCAUGCUUUUCCCAUAGUUAUAUAGUGCCUGUUAAAGAGAAACGCGCAGGGCUUAGUAAAAAUGUGGUUAAUAUUUGUAAAUGCUAAAAUGUUUUUACACAAUACCCACUGCUGUGCAUGCCCCUGACAUUUUGACAAGCUGUACCCCUUUGUCAUGCUGGCGCCCCUGAUAACAAUGCCAGGAGAGAGUACAGAGUGCCCCUGAUAAGAAUGCCAGGAGAGAGUACAGAGUGCCCGUGAUAACAAUGCCAGGAGAGUACAGAGUGGCCCUGAUAACAAUGCCAGGAGAGAGUACAAAGAAUAUCAGUCAGCUGAGUUGAGGUUGGAAGUUAUUGAUGGAACCUGACCAGUGCUGUGAGCUCUCAUAUUAUUAAAGGACACAUAUCUGUAAGCAGGAUAAUGACCUGGCAGUUUAACAUUCAAAACCAAUGUGGCGCCCCACUAUAAGUACAGCACAAUUAAAAACCCAUUUAGGAUGCUUGAAAACUGAAAGUUCACAUGGAAAGCACCAAAAAAAAUGGUCCACUAAUUAAUGGGAAGAUUGUUUGAGACACAGACCAUUAAGGGAGAUAUUUGUACUGUUAAAAAAAGCCUCUGUAGUACCUGUCCGCUAAUUGUACUGUGCCCAAUGCUGUGUGCACUGCUCUUUCAGCAUCGCUGCACUGUAUUACUGCAAAGCUCUUCCUCUACAAACAUCCUCUUUGUACUUGUUUGGCUUCAAGUAAGUGGUCAUAUUUCUAGCAUCUACCAAAGGACCCAUUAAACUCAACCUGGGGAAGGCCAGCUGAAAGUGCUCCUAAUCUUCUGCUGUUUCCCCACAUGGCUGCACCUGUCUGUGAACGCUUCUGCAUUGCCAUUGAUUGGCUGGGGUGUAGAGUUAUGUUCGCACACAGGAGACCAGGAGAAUCACUGUUUAAAUUUCUGUCAACUUCUGUCACAUCUGCUGCUUUACCCAUAUUGCCUGAAAUUUACACCGAUAACAAACUUUUUGCAAAAUACAUGCCAGGGAUUUUUGUGUACCCCUGUAUACUACUAUGGAUACUACUAUGACUGUAACUAUUAAUACUUCAUCUACUAUUAGUGCUGAAACUAGUACUAUGACUACUACUAAUAAUUGUUAUAAUGACUAGGAAUAAUGUAAAUCCACCUGUGUAUAAUAAGACUGAAAUGUUAUCAAGCAUCUGUUUAUUCAUGUCACAGGUACAGCAGGAUGUAAUUGAAGAACAGAAGCACACUGGAUAAGCAAACACCAAUGGCACGUCCCUUGGUUAAUAUAGGCAUUGCUGUACAUAAUGGAACUCCUGAGUCAAUUGUAUUUACAUGAGGAAGUUGCAUUGUUAUAAUAAAGGCAUCCAAGGUGAGACACUCCACAUUGGGUUUGCCAAAAAAUAUUUGUCUACCUGACUGUAUUUCUAUGCUUUACAAGAGGGCUUCCACAUACAUACAAUUAAGUACUAGUAAAACUACAGUUUGAUAUCAUUAGGAAUUUACUAAACCCCUUGUAUUAUACAGUGAUGACCUGAUUUUUACACUUAAUUUUAACAAUUUGAUGAUGCCCCCUUGUAAAAGUUUUCCAUUGUAAAAGCAUAGCAACAUGUGAUAAAGCGAGGUAUGGUAAAACAUGGCAAACUGUAAAUAAUGCACAGUAUAACCCAGGAAAAAGAAAGUGAACACUACAAAAUUACUGAGCACAUUUACCUUGGUCAAGUUUUAGAAGGAUGAAAGCAAAAAAUAUGAAUGUUGGAAUAAUAGCUUUCCACAACACAUAGAGGUCCGUCACAUAGACACUGCAUACCUUGACCCCUGGAGUUUAAGAGCAUCAGCAUUUCCUUUGAGUUUUACCACCAAUUGAUAACACCCAAGAGGAGGGUACUUUAUAAGUGCAACUAGCACUAUAACUGCUCAACUGUAGCUGAGGACAACUUACACAGAUGGGAGCUGACAAGUGUUUAAAAUCGCAUAUUGAUGUGCCUCUGAAAAUUGCACAACGAACUGUCUGAUGUGAAAUCCAGAUAACUUUCAAUAACCUUGUCCAUCGGUCCUCCAUAUGGAUUCAUCCACAUCUCUUGGGCACAGUGCAUAAUUAAAAGUACCCAAGAACAAUCAUUGUGAGCUAUUAUUCCAAGUCUCAAUUAAUAACUCCUUGGAGUUCUGUGAUUAACACUACAAUACUAGGAAUACAAUUGAAUGAAAACCUGUGUGCGUAUUAGGAUCACUAUGAAAUGCGUGGUCUGCUAAUGGUUCUGGUAUGGUAUCUCCAGGGUAAUACACUGAUUUUGCACUGGUGUUAUGGUGUUACACUGGUUUCUAUCCUAAUAUUUUUCAAAAUUUGUAGAGGAAAGGGCUAUGCAAUUAUUUACAAAAAUGCAUUGCUUAUGUAAAUAUUCUAUGUUUCAAAUGUGAUUCACUUCAAAACUUAAAAUCAGUAUACUGAAGAAGUAAAUUAAACGUUUUACCUGCUGCAGCUUCGGAUCGUGUUAGUAAUCUUGAAACAGACAAUACAAACAGCUUUACAAGACAAAACUAACAAACACUCACAGUUUCU